AGGACGAACGCUGGCGGCGCGCCUAAAACAUGCAAGUCGAACGAGAAGCCCGGGCUUGCCCGGGUGGACAGUGGCGAACGGGUGAGUAACACGUGAGUAACCUGCCCCUAGCUCUGGGAUAGCUCCGGGAAACCGGGAUUAAUACCAGAUACGACCACUUUAGACAUCUGUCGUGGUGGAAAGGAUUCCGGCUAGGGAUGGGCUCGCGGCCUAUCAGCUUGUUGGUGGGGUAACGGCCUACCAAGGCGACGACGGGUAGCCGGCCUGAGAGGGCGACCGGCCACACUGGGACUGAGACACGGCCCAGACUCCUACGGGAGGCAGCAGUGGGGAAUAUUGCGCAAUGGGCGAAAGCCUGACGCAGCGACGCCGCGUGGGGGAUGAAGGCCUUCGGGUUGUAAACCCUUUCAGCAGGGACGAAGCGAAAGUGACGGUACCUGCAGAAGAAGCGCCGGCUAACUACGCGCCAGCAGCCGC
rnacentral:rRNA from 1 species